UUAGGGUCAGUUGCUAGUCUAUAUAUGUUUCUGGACACCGUAAGUGAUGUGUGGCUUGUUGCGAGCGGAGGUCAGUAGUAACUGUUUGAACUGUGUUGGGGGAGGAUGUGUCCGGGUGUGGCUGACCAGCCGGUGGUAAAUACUCUUUCGGCUGCUACAGCUCUCCAGCCCAGGGUGUCGACUGCCUAGUCUUCAACUGCCUCCCAACAUGGUAGCGAGGUCCUGAGCUGAUGUACCCUAUGGCGAAGAUUGAGGAAGUAGUUUCCUGAAGUAAUGAAUGGCACUUUAUAACCAGCAGCCGGCACCAGCUCUGGACAACGUCGGAGUGGACAAGGCCCAGAUCCCGUGGGGAGGAAGGUCUACACUAACAUGUAAAAGAACAUAGAUUGGAAAGUCCUAAACUACAUUCCUGGAGUUUGAAGGUGUCAAUUGACAUUCAGAAUCAGAUUACAAUGGUAUCCAAGCAUUGACUGACUUGAAGUGUGGCUGUUCUACUCUGCACAUCUAUGAAGCUGGUUGUGGAGGGUCCUUCCAACAUAAUUUCAGGGAUGGUGUACAGAACAAUUGGUGAAAGUUAUGCUACAGAAAAUAGUUGUGUGAGAGAAUUAGUUGGUAAAAAACAUGGAUUGGGAAGUCCUAAACUACAUCCUAGAGUUUGAAGGUGUUGAUUGUUUGACAUUCAGACUGAGGUUGUGGAGGGUCCUUCCAACAUAAUUUCAGGGAUGGUGUACAGAACAAUUGGUGAAAGUUAUGCUACAGAAAAUAGCAGUUGUGAGAAUUAGUUAGUAAAAAAUAUGGAUUGGGAAGUGCAGAAUUAGAUCCUGGAGUUUGAAUGCUUGACAUUCAGAAUAAGGUGAUAAUGAAGAUUACAAUGGUACCAAAGCAGUGAGGCUAUUCUACUUCACACAUCCAAUAAACUGGUGGAUGUUGUCCUUGUUACUCUGGAGUUUUCCCUGUCCUUUUGGAGUCUUCAGUGGAUUGCAUCUAGGAGGAGCAGCUUCCCACAACCUGAAAUGGACAAUAGUCAAUAUUAGAUGUUACACUGUAUACUAUGCAAUAAAUAUUCUAAUGAAACUA
rnacentral:lncRNA from 1 species